rnacentral:rRNA from 1 species
ACACGGAGGGCGCAAGCGUUGCUCGGAAUCACUGGGCGUAAAGCGGGUGUAGGCGGUCUAGCAAGUCAGAUGUGAAAGCCCACGGCUCAACCGUGGAAGUGCGUCUGAAACUGCUAGACUUGAGUGCCGGAGAGGGAAGUGGAAUUCCUGGUGUAGGGGUGAAAUCCGUAGAUAUCAGGAGGAACACCGGUGGCGAAGGCGACUUCCUGGACGGCCACUGACGCUGAGACCCGAAAGCGUGGGGAGCAAACAGGAUUAGAAACCCUUGUAGUCC